rnacentral:rRNA from 1 species
GUGUAAGUAUAAAUAAUUUUACUUUGAAACUGCGAAUGGCUCAUUAUAUCAGUUAUAGUUUAUWAGAAAUAUUUUACWACUKGGAUAACSGUAGUAAUUCUAGGGYUAAUACAUGAGUAAAACYUCAACUUCGGAAGAGGUGUGUUUAUUAGUAUGAAAACCAUAUAUCUUSGGAUAUAAUAGUGAGUAAUAAUAACCUUUCAUAUCGUAKGUCGUAAGAUAACGAUAGUUCUUUCAAGUUUCUSCCCUAUCAGCUUUCGAUGGURGUAUAUGGGACUACCAKGGCAGUAACGGGUAACGAAGAAUUKGGGUUCGAUUUSGGAGAGGGASCCUGAGAGAUGGCUACCACAUCCAAGGAAGGCAGCAGGCGCGUAAAUUACCCAAUCCUGACAUAGGGAGGUAGUGACAAUAAAUCACAAUGSGGAACUUUUAGUUUUGCAAUUGGAUUGAGAACAAUGUACAAAUGUUAUCGAUAAACAAUUGGAGGGCAAGUCUGGUGCCAGCAGC